GCCUAGGUGGCCGAACUCGGUUAAGGCGCCAGUCUGCUAAGCUGGUGGUCGUAAGACCGUGUGGGUUCAAAUCCCACCCUAGGCG
rnacentral:tRNA from 2 species